rnacentral:tmRNA from 1 species
GGGGGCGAACAGGGUUCGACGGGGGUAAAGAAGCUAAAGUGGCAUGCCGGGUUCCCGACUGCCCGUAAAAUAGCCGGGAAUAAAGACAAACGCAGACGAUUACG